ACUUUCUGUUAAUACACUCUAUUGUAAAGCAGGGAGGAACUGACUUAAGUCUGCUUAACUGUCGUGGAGGCUCAGAAGGAUGAGAACAGGGAACUGUAGAGAAUGUUUUUCUAGGUCUCAGGGGCCACUUGGCUCUGCUCUGCUCUGCUCUGCAUACCUGCUAUUCCUUGUGCUUUCAGAGAGCUGGCUUCCUUUGCUGUCCUGAGCAUGAUUCAUUUGAGUUGCCCUUGGCUGACAAGUCUGUUCAAAUCCAGCAUUCAUACCUUACUCCCUUGGGUUUUUCAUGUCCUUCUUCCAAAUCCCUGUGGGAAAAGAAGUCUGAUCUGGCCAGUCCAGGCUUGGAUCAGCUGUCCAUUCAUCAGCUGCAGACAUGCUUACAGACAGGGAGUGGGGGCCGCAGGGCUGUGCACCAAUGUCUAGGACCUCAGGACUUUUGCAGUAUUUUUCAAAAAAGCAUUUAAAGCGAUUCCAUAACAAGAAAAAAAAACCCAUAAAUAACUGAAAAGACGGCAAAUCAUUAUUCUUCAAAGGCAGAUUUGCUUGGUCAGAUAGUUCAUUUCCCAAAGAACAAAAAUAAAAUCAAGUGCUCUAGAAUAUUAUUAAGCCCAGUCUCCUAUUAGAAAUUAUAAAUUGAAGACUUCCCAGAGUUCUAAAGCAAAUUCUGAAAAGAAGUCAUACCUAUCAUUUACAUUAUAAGUAAACAAUAUAGUUUAUUGUUGGAAGUUCCAGGAAAGCUAAAACUUGGAACUUAUUUAGCAGUAAAGGAAGAAUUGUUUCAGAGACUAAGUUGAACGGUUACGGAAGUCUAGCAAAUAUGUAAAGGUAACAGCAUGUGUGUGUAUUAGAGUUUGGAAGGACUGGAGGUCAGGGUGAAGGGAUUUAAAGUAGUUUGGCUAAAAUAAUCUAACAUUAGAACUUCUAUUUUCAAAAGGGAUGAUUGAACGAUUUUGGUUUCAAGAGGCAUUCUGUAUAUGAUGAAGUACAGUGGUGCUCCUUUGUUAUGGGCCGAAUGUUUGUGUCCCCCCAGAUUCAUAAGUUGAACUCCAGCCCCCAGCCUGGCCGCGUUUGGAGAUGGGAAUUCUUAGGAAGUUAAGUGAGCUCUAAGGGUGGGGUCCCCGCCUCAUAGGAAUAGUGUCUUCUACGAGGAGACACCAGAGGGCGCUCUCGAUGCUCCCACUCCGAGGAAAGGCCAGGGGAGGACCCAGCGAGAAGGUGACCGGCGGCCUGCAAGGGGAAAGAGCCCUCAUCAGGAAUUGCAUCAGCCAGCACCUUGAUCUUGGACUUCUAGCCUUCAGAACUAUGAGGAAAUGAAUUUCUGCUGUUUAUGUCACUCGAUCUACAGUAUUUUGUCAUAACAGCCCAAGUAAGUCUUUUCUGCCAAGAUACUUACUUUAAAGACAUCAUCACAGUUGUGUCCUCUCUGAGUUAUGUCCAUGCCAAAACGAAGAACUGCAAAAGUCUGCUCUGUUCCCCACAGAACUCUGCAGGAGGAAGCUAACGUUUUUCUCUUUAAAAUGUGUAAAUGAUGUCAACACUUUUCCCAAAUUGGUUGGUGAAAAGUGCUUCUGGUUGUCCCAAUAGAAUAUACAGAUGAAGAUGGUUUUUGUAGGGUAAGAUGCUAAAAUCGGAGUUAAGGUAUUUUUAACUUAAGUAUUUUUUAAAACUUCAUGCUCCCACUUUAAGCCCAUGAGCUCCACAGUGGCUUUUCCUAGUUUCCAACUGGAGCCCAAAUCUGAACCUGGGAUUAUUUCAAGGCACACAGUCACAGGGAUAAAAGGCCACAGCCGGGACAUCUUAAAUCUCCAUGACCCUGUAAUAAGAGCACACUAAGGAAUGGGGGUGGUGACACAGACUUGUUGGUGAGGAAGUGGUUGAGCUCCUUAGGCGUAUGGUAAAAGCCAGCUGAUCAGAGAUGGGUGGGCUUUAGCUACAGGCUGCUUACUUAUUCUACCCUCCGGUGAAGUCCAGGUUCCCACACCUGAAGUCAGAAGUUAGUUUAUGGGCCACAUCUGGCCUGUAGGAACUUUUUAAAAAUUUGCUAACAUUUAAACACAUAAAGAUCUCUCAUAAAAAUUAAGCUUUUCGGGUUCCCUUUAAAAACUGGCAGCGCUGGCUGGACCAGAAUAAUGCAUAUAUGCAUAUGUCAUGAGGUCUCUAGGUGCCCAGUCUCCACCACUCCCUGAUGUCUUUACCUGUCGCCUUCCUCUCACUCAUGUGGGUCAUUUGAGAUCAGAGACCUUUGAGAAGUUUGCUCCAAGCCAAAAGUAAGUUGGUGCAGCCAUUAUGGAAAACAGCAUGGCAGUUCCUCAAGAAACUAAAAAUAGAGUUGUUACAUGAUCCAGCAAUCUCACUUCUGAGUACAUAUUGAGAUAAAACUAUAAUUCAAAAAGAUUCAUGUGUCCCUAUGUUCAUUGCAGCUCUGUUCACAAUAGCCAAGACAUAAAAGCAACUUAAAUGUCCAUUAAUAGACAAAUGAAUAAGGAAGAUCUGGUACAUAUUCACAAUGGAAUACUAUGCAGCCAUAAAAAAGAAGAAAUGAUGCCAUUUGCAGCAACAUGGAUGGACUUAGAGAUUAUCAUACUAAGUGAAGUAACUCAGAGAAAGAAAAUACCAUAUAAUAUCACUUAUAUAUGCCAUCUAAAAUAUGAUGCAAAUGAACACAUCUAUGAAAGAGAAACAGACUCAUAGAUGUAGAGAACAGACUUGUGGUUGUCAAGUGGGAAGGGGAAGAGAUGGAGCGAGAGGUUGAGGUUAGCAGAUGGUCCUAUACUCAAUAUCCUAUGAUAAACCAUAAUGGAAAAUAUAUGAAAAAAGAAUAUAUAUAUAUAUCUGAAUCACUUUGCUGUACAGCAGAAAUUAACACAACAGUGUAAAUCAACUAUACUUCAAUUUUAAAAAGAAGUUUGCUCCAAACCAACCUUCUCUUUCUCAAAAGUCAGUGGGCAGCUGGAUCAGGACAACAGCUAAGAAACUAUAAUCAACUUUAGUCAUUGUUACAAAUAAAAUAUGAAAGAGGGGUUCCAACAGAAUGACUGUUUCUGUGUAAAACAGACAAACAAAAACUCCUUCUUGGGGAAACCCCCUCCCCAAUCCCUGAGCAGAAAGAUUCAGUCUCUGGAAGAAGAUUUCGAUUUCGCACUUCAAAUCAAUCUGCCUUUCUACUUGAAAUUCAGGAACCCUGUAGGUUUUAUGAAACCAGGUACCAGGAAGCUAGCUCCUUAGCCACUCUGAGGGCUGGUGGGGCAGGACAGGCUUCAAGUGCAGACAGAGGCAGCAGAGAUUGGGUAGGAAAUGAAAAGGGGGGAGAGAGAGCAGAGAGGAGGGCAGGCAAGCAUCUUGGGCUCCAAUGCCCUGUGUUUUAGAGCCCUUUUGAGUCACCUUAGUCCCAGGCUGUUAUUGUUAACUAACCCACCAGGUGGUGCUCUGAAAUACCAAAUACCCUUCUGUCCUUAAUUUAAAAAUUACACUGCCUGGAUUUUCCGGUGCUGACAAUUAGUACACAUGCCUGGUUAUACUUUAUUGGAAAAUAUUUAUAUAAAUAUAUUUUCAUUAAAAGGAUGAAAUUUAGGAAAAUUGGAAAUCCAUUUAAAUUGUGUUCUUUGCAGUGUUCUUAAAAUUAUCUUUAUGCAUUAUAAAGUGGAAAUUUUUUCUUUUUCAUUUUUGGCCACUCUGCGGCAUAUGGAGCCAGGGAUCAGAUCCCAGCUGUAGCUGCAACCUAAGCUGUAGCUGUGGCAAUGCCGGAUCCUUGACCCACUUUGCCAGGCCAGGGAUCAAAGCUGUCUCCCAGCUCUCCUGAGAUGCUGCCCAUCCCAUUCGCAACAGCAGGAACUGCUGACUUUUUAAAAAUCAAGAGAAUUACAAUGAAUUAUAAUUACAAUGUUUGUGCCUGCUAAGUCAGUAUGUUUACCAUCCCCCUCCCAGUUUCUUAGGGCUGAAACUGGCUCCCUGUUAGAGCCAUCUGUCCCCACUGUGUGGCUGUGUGAUGCUGAGAAAAGUUUGCUGGAGGGGUCUGAUUUUCCGCAUUCAGCCUGGGCUCCCCAGACACAGCCUGGCUCCAUGCUCCUCUUCAGUCCUGCUUUUGGUAAACCUCCAUCCUCUGCCUUGUUCACACCCUGGCUUCCUCUUAGCUGCCUCCAAACACUGUUCCAGAAAGUUCUGACUCUGUUCCCCUCCCAGAGCCUCUGAGAACAAAUUCAGACUGGUUUGUAGAGUUGUUAUGGAACAGUAUAAUUUAAGGACAAAGAAACAGAUGACAUGAGGAAAAAUGUGCUUUGAGGCUGUGUUCACCAAGAUUUGGCAUGAAAUCAUCAUAAAAAUGACAAGUGACAAUGUGAAUAUAGCAACAAGCUUUGGAGCCAGACUAUCCUGAGUUCAAAUUCUGACUCUCCCAUGUGUUACCUGUGUGCUUUUGACUAAACUAGACUCUUCAAACCUUAGUUUUCUCUCCUGUAUAGUGGGGGUAAUAAUUUCUACCCUGCGUAGUUGCUGUGGAGAUCAGAUGAGAUCACAUGCUUAGAGCACCAGGCUAGCCAGCUGCCCACCAGUGCCCUCUCCUUUCCUGCCCUUACACUGUGGUCAGCUCAAAAGGUGAACUCUGGAGCCAGUAACAGGGACAGGCAUGUGCUUCCUGAACCUUCCUCCGCCUCAGCACCUGCACUCACACCUUCUUGCUGCUGAUCACCUGCUGGGUCCCUACCACCCUGAUGCUUCCAGCCCACCUUGCCCCCUGCUCUGUGCUGCUCAGGUGACCCCUGAUGUGGCCACUUGUCUGCCUUCCUCCUGGAGUGGCUGUUACCCCUGACACCAUGGCUCCUGGGGACCUCCUCCACUUCCCUCAGCCCCAGUGGGACCCCCAUUCAAGCUGCUGGGUCAACCCCUGUGUAAUUGCCCUGCUGCAAACACUGCCACCAAAUCCCCAGGGCUGAGGUUCUAGGAAGAGAACUGAUCAGCUCCCAUACAAAGCAUCUCUUGGACGCCUGAACGUGUGCAGAAAAGUUGUGAUUUUUAAGUUGGACUUGAAUCUGGUGGUCCAUAUGUCCUGACAGAAGCUUGGACCUCUGCUAGGUCAGCUUGUGAGCUGCAAAAGUGCCCCUGAAGAGCUACACCCUCAUAAAACCUGGGUCCUUUCAAGGCAGGAGUCCACCCAGGGGAGCCCUGGUCCACGUCGCCAAGGUUGUGAUAGGAAGGCUGGAGGGUGAGGGCAGGUGACAGAUGGAAGGCUGGGUGAAGAGCUCAGAGCAGCUGGUUCCUGCUGGGCUGUAUAUGCCCCACACAAGGCGUCUAGGAGCUCGGGGACUGGGAACUGCCAGCCAGCGCCACUGUGACUAAAGUCUUUAAUGUAAAAACUACACGAGGCUAAAUUUUAAUAAGUUGAGUGAAUUCUUCAUGGCAGAAAAAGCCUUUGUGGAGAAUAAAAAAUAAUUCAAUAAAUGGACUUUCUAAAGGGCUCUUUGUAGCAUACGAACUGUUUCAGAAAUAUGGUAGAAAGUUUUAUCCAGGGACUAUUAGGUUGGUUUUUAAUACAUGUGAGUGGGCCCAGGCAUUUUAAAUUCUGAGAGAAGUAGUAGUCUUAUUUUAGUAGACUCUUUGUGAAUGUGCUACUUUAUUAAUGGCAGAAAUGGGUGUGAAAAUCUGCUCCUGUUCCCAGAUUGUAUUUGUCAUGACAGAUACAGAAGCAUUGUAAUAAAUGGCAUUUGAUCAAGUUUAGGGUUCUGUAUAAUUAUGCUUAAUGCAGGUUUUUAUCUCUAAAAACGGAAAACUAAAGACUACUCCACAAACAGCACCAGCUAUGUGAGCAAUUAACCCAAAUGCCUGUGGUCCCUGCAGUCCCAGUGUCAGAGUUUUCAGGAGGUCAAAAUAUGAUGCUUCACUUGCCAAAGUGCUUUCCUCUUAAUCUCGAAAGAGUACCACCUCUAGUGGUUCUGUGUUCACCCCAGAUUCCACCUGCACUCAUUCUCUCUCAAAUACCAAAACCAAACCAAAACACUAAUUAUUUGGAAUGCUUUUUUCCCCCUUAAUAGUGCAGGUAUUUGAUCAUAGGGUAUUUUUGGUUUUAUUUUAAAUUUUGCUUAAAUGAGGUUUAAAAAUCAAUGCAGAAGUUCCCGUUGUGGUUCAUCAGUUAACAAACCCAACUAGCAUCCAUGAGGACGUGGGUUGGAUCCCUGGCCUCGCUCAGUGGGUUAAGGAUCUGGCGUUGCCAUGAGCUGUGGUGUAGGUCGAGAGGAUCCUGCAUUGCUGUGGCUGUGGUGUAGGCUGGCAGCUGUAGCUCUGAUUGGCCUCCUAGCAGGGGAGCCUCCAUAUGCGCUGGAUACGGCCUUAAAAAAGACAAAAACAAAAAAGCAAGGGAAAGGGUGGAUCUUAUGUGCAAGCUCAAAAAGCCAAUCUCAGAGGUGUAUGUAUUGCAUGCUUAUGUAACAUGAUCCAGAUGAUAAGGUUAUAGUAAUGAAAGGCAGAUGGGCUGUUGCCCAGGCCAGUGCUGGGGGAAAGCUGUGACAACUGAGGAGUGACACCAGGGAGCUUCUUUGUUGUGCUAGAACAGUUCUACAUCCUGUUUGAGGUGUUGGUUACUUGAGUUUACACAUGGGGUAAAAUGUCCUAUAACGAUA
ensembl:lncRNA